CUAGUACAUAGUUGUAUAUUUUAGUUGUGGGUCCUUCUAGUUAUGGCAUGUGGGACGCUGUCUCAGUGUGGCCUGAUGAGCGGUGCCAUGUCCGUGCCCAGGAUCCCAACCGGCGAAACCCUGGGCCGCCGAAGCAGAGCAUGCGAACUUAACCACUCGGGCACAGGGCCGGCCCCCAGAAACCACAAGACUUUAGAUAAGGCUGGGGUAAAGAGUUCAAGGAGAGAUGAGCCAAGUGUUGAAGAAGAGCAUGAUGGAUCUCAGUCUUCACAUUGUUGUCAGUUUUACUGAGGUACAGUAAAAUCUGCAACCAGAAUUGAGGGAGGGGAAUUUUCCAGAAAUCAUCGAAUGUCCAGUUGGAAGAAAAACAGAGAACGGCACACAAAAAAAUUAAAAGAUUAUGGGAGAACAGCUGUGUCAGAGGACUCACCAGGUGCUGUCUACCAAAAUUAGAGGCAACUCACUACUUGAAGACAGGACGCUCACCACGCAAAGAACGACAAUCAGAAGCUCCAGGGAAGAAAGCUGGAGCUGGGGAGGGGAGGGACGAAAGCUGAACUUUGGUAUCUUUCAAGACUGUUGGAAUUCUUUUCACCUAUUUUAUCAUGUGCACCCAUUUUUUCCUUAAUAAAAAUGUUGACAACCAUUUAAAAAGCUAUGGCACAUCUAUAACAGAAGAGUAUGUAGCAGUUUAAAAAAAUGAG
rnacentral:lncRNA from 1 species